rnacentral:rRNA from 1 species
AUGUUCUUCAUCGCCGUGCUCCGCAGGGCCUUCAUUGAUCGGGAGUACACCGAUGGGCACUUUAAUCUCCACCUCAACAACUCCAAGACAAAGGCAUGGAGCAUCAAGUUGAUGCAUCUUGAUUCGCCCAAGGAUUUUGAGUUCCACUCUCCGAACAAGGGGAUCACCAUUGGAGGGGAGCUUGGUUCAGUGGGUUGGGUCGACCUCAGGCGGGGCAUUCUCAUCUGUGACCUUCUCCUCGUUGACAGCAACCAAAGUCUUCGCUACAUCCCACUACCUUCGCCACUGUCGCCCGAUCCACUCAGGGCUUAUCCGUUGUAUGUUCGGACCAUCGUUGUUCUCCAAGGUUACAUCAAGUAUUUUGAGAUGCACAAUAACGUCAGACCGGGCUCAGACACCGGAAGCUUCCCGAUAUCUGAAGGUUGGAUUGCUGCAACAAAAAAGAUAAAACUUUCAAGCAUUGGUUCUACUUCUGGUACCAGCAACUGUGAGGAGGACUGGAUGUUAGUAGUAAUCUUGACAUGCAUAAACUGUUAG